AACUUCCCUAUAAUCAUAGUCGGAGAGCUGAUCAUUAUCAUGAGAAUUGCUGGACGCUUUGCCUUGCGGUUGUGGACUGCUGCUUCAUCAUUGAAGUUUUUGCUGGGGCAUGCGGAGUUGCAUCUGGAGUUGUUGCUACUCCCCCUUUCUGACCAGACUGUGCCAAAGUCUUAAGAAGCUGGUCCUGAAUAGACGAAAA
rnacentral:lncRNA from 1 species